rnacentral:rRNA from 1 species
UACGAAGGGGGCUAGCGUUGCUCGGAAUCACUUGGGCGUAAAGCGCACGUAGGCGGAUCUUUAAGUCAGGGGUGAAAUCCUGGAGCUCAACUCCAGAACUGCCUUUGAUACUGAGGAUCUCGAGUCCGGGAGAGGUGAGUGGAACUGCGAGUGUAGAGGUGAAAUUCGUAGAUAUUCGCAAGAACACCAGUGGCGAAGGCGGCUCACUGGCCCGGUACUGACGCUGAGGUGCGAAAGCGUGGGGAGCAAACAGG